rnacentral:tRNA from 1 species
CUUUACAUAUCUAAGCUUAAGUGCCGGAUUCUUACUCCGGUGAUGUGUAUUACACUGUAAGGU